GCGGUUGUGGCUCAGUGGUAGAGCAUUGCCUCACAUGUAUGAGGCACUGGGUCCUAUUCUCAGCACCACA
rnacentral:tRNA from 1 species